AUUGAACGCUGGCGGCGUGCCUAACACAUGCAAGUCGAGCGGUAACAGGUGUAGCAAUACAUGCUGACGAGCGGCGGACGGGUGAGUAACGCUUGGGAAUCUGCCUAUUAGUGGGGGACAACCCGGGGAAACUCGGGCUAAUACCGCAUACGCACUACGGUGGAAAGCCGGGGACCGCAAGGCCUGGCGCUAACAGAUGAGCCCAAGUCGGAUUAGCUAGUUGGAGGGUAACGGCCUACCAAGGCGACGAUCCGUAACUGGUCUGAGAGGACGACCAGUCACACCGGAACUGAGACACGGUCCGGACUCCUACGGGAGGCAGCAGUGGGGAAUAUUGGACAAUGGGCGAAAGCCUGAUCCAGCGACGCCGCGUGGGUGAAGAAGGCCUGCGGGUUGUAAAGCCCUUUCAGUGGGGAAGAAAAGCCUCGAGCUAACACCUCGGGUCUUGACGUAACCCAUAGAAGAAGCACCGGCUAACUCUGUGCCAG
rnacentral:rRNA from 1 species